AUGAGGCAAGUUUUGUUUCAGAGAAACUCUAACGAGCAGUCCACCUGCUUGGCUUUAGCAUUGAACAACUCAUGGCGUCAGUGUGCGGGGUUGAUGGAGAGAGACUGAAACACAACAUCUGUGUUUGCAUUGAUGAGUGCAGAGAGAAGCUGUACGGUUUAAGUCGGGACAUCUGGAGCAGACCGGAGCUGGCCUACAAAGAAAAGCAGAGCCAUGACUUGCUCGUUCGCUUCUUUUCGGAGGCGGGCGGCUGGAGCGUUGAACCCAGCUACAUUUUAGAGACGGCUUUCCGGGCGACUUGGUGUCUCGGCGCUCAGAAGAACCUCAAAGUCGUAAAUGUUGGUUUCUUGUGCGAAUACGACGCCCUGCCUGGUCUCGGUCACGCGUGUGGCCAUAAUCUCAUCGCAGAGGUUGGUGUAGCUGCAGCAUUCGGCCUGAAGGGGGCGUUCGAGAGUCAGGCAGACAUUCCUGUGAAGAUAACAGUUCUGGGAACCCCUGCUGAAGAGGAAGGAGGAGGUAAAAUAGACCUGAUCCAGGCUGGAGCGUUUGCAGACAUGGAUGUUGUGCUCAUGGCUCAUCCCUCCCAGGAAGAUAAAGCCUUCCAUCCCUGCACUUCCAUAAAAGAUUGCACUGUAAAGUAUUAUGGGAAAGCCUCUCAUGCUGCUGCUUACCCAUGGGAGGGUGUCAAUGCGCUGGACGCUGCUGUGCUUGCUUACAGCAGCUUGUCCGUGCUGAGGCAGCAGCUGAGGCCAGAUUGGAGGCUGCAUGGCAUUAUCAAGCAUGGUGGAACAAAGCCUAACAUUAUUCCAGACUACACAGAGAUGGAUUAUUAUAUGCGUACACCGCUGCUCAAAGACCUUCCUGACCUCAAAGAUAAAGUAGAGGCAUGCUUCAGAUCAGCUGCCAUAGCAACCGGCUGUCAAGUGGAAAUAACAUAUCCUCACCCAGCCUAUUCCAACAUCCUUCCAAAUCCUUCCUUGGAAAAACACUAUGAAGAGAAUGGCAGAGCUCUAGGCAUGGAGUUCAAAGAAGGAGGCAGUAAUUUUUCCGGCUCCACAGACUUCGGCAAUGUGUCCUAUGUUGUCCCUGGAAUUCACCCUUUCUUUUACAUCGGGACUGAGGCACUGAACCACACACUUGAGUAUGCAACAGCUGCAGGCUCAGAGAAAGCACAGAUGUACACGCUGAGGACAGCCAAAGCUCUGGCCAUGACGGCUGCUGAUGUGCUUUUGAACCCAACCUUACUCAAGCAGGUCAAAGAGGAGUUCAUAGUUGCCAAAUGCUCACAAGAGCAAAAAAGCCAAUAAGGCAUUUACUCCAUAAACAGGUAUGACUUAACACAUUGAAGCAUUGCCUUAUAUCAUGUACAUUGUGAUAUAUCACGUUCAUUUCUUCUCCUGUUGUGCACCAUAUCAGAGUACCCUGAAGUUCCAGUAACAGACUGCAUCAUAACAUAGCAUAGAGGAAGACGAACACAAAGCUGACCCAUAAGUAGAUGUCCACUGCUUUGAUGUAGGACACACGCGGCAUGGAGGCGUUGACCCCAGUGAUGAUAGUGGACAUUGUAAGAACCGUAGUGAUACCUGAGCGAAAGCAAAGAAUUGUAUGACGCUUCUUUUUGCAAGUCCUGUAGUAUCACAACUGAUUUCACAGAUUUCUUAAUAACCUGAAUGAAAUGUGAAAUUGAAUUGUUUUGUCUAAUCAUAAAUCAUGUGUGUACAAUUUUGUGCAAGUUUGUAUACUUGUGAGGCUGGACGAUGCCUACAGAAUCAUGGUGGUGUUAGGCCUACCUAAAGGUACUCUAGCAGGCACAGCUCUGCGAUCAAUCCAGAAGGACACCCAGGACAGCAUGACCAUCAGCGUGGCAGGGAAGUACGUCUGCAGCAAGAAGAAGAAAAUGUGUCGCCGGAGGGUGAAAUGGAUGUACAGCCUGUUGUACCAGCCUGUGAAAUGAGAAAUACUGUUUAAUAAGCUUGACAGCAUACAGCAGGGGUCACUUCUGGGGACAGUCCAGCCAUAGAGCUUGAGUCCAGCAUGGUUUAGUGACUUUCCUGCUCUAACACACCAGCUAAUCCUGGUAAUUAACUGAUUAGUUGAAUCAGGUGUGUUUGAGCAGGGAAAUCAGCAAGCUGUGCUGGAUUAAGGCCCUUCAGCACUGGAGUUGAUGGUCACUGACAUACAGUGCAUGGCAGUUUUGAUAUUUGUUGAUAAAAUAAUGGAUUACCUGUGCUGCUGUAGAAAGCUAGCUUUGUAGUUGUGUGAAACUUUUGGAUGAGAAAUUGCGAAAGUGAAAUCCUGUCAUCUGUGUUCAAAGAUUCAUUUCCUUUCUUCCAGUACAACAUGAGGUCAUCAUCCGUGUAUGCAUCUGAAAUGACAGCAUAUUCUCUUGGACACCACUUAUGUAAACAGAGCACAGUCCUACAAAACUAGAACUUGAUUAGUGUAAUAUGGUUUUAUAUAUCAGUAAUAAGUAUUGCUUAUAUACACCUUAGUAUGUGAAAAAUGUUCUGGAUAGAGUUUUCUAAAAGCUGUGUACCAUCAUGUCACAAUCAUCACUAUUCAUCAUUACAUGCUUACUGUAAUGCUGAUUGUGUGAUACUGCUGAUUGUGCUGAUACUGUGAUACUUUGGGAAAUCAGUACUUCUAUGCAAAGUGAUUAUAAAUAAAGGAAUAUAUUUCACAUUAUCUACAUACAGCUCUCUAUCUCAAGUGAGCAGGUCUGGGUGUCCAGAGGAAAACGACUCAGGUCCAUAUUGCACAUGGCAGUGACUGUUACCCUGAAAGACACAAAGGACAUCAUCAUGUACGCUUAUUUGAUAUUAUUUUGACAGUUUCAUUCUAUUAAAUGGGAGUUAUAAUUUCUGCAUAAUUGAACUGUUAAGAUGUAAACAGUGUGUUGAUGUGAAAUUCACCAUCCCAGAGAAACUUACUGAGUAAGAAUUGUUUACAGUGGUGGUGACAGGAACCAGACGUCUGAAACAUUUAAUGCUACAUCACAGAAAACUGUUCCAUUAAAUAGUUACAAAUACUCUGUCUGAUAUCUAUAUAUAUAUAAAGCAUUGUUGUACGACCGUUUUGAGAAAAGCUUUUAAGGUAUUUUUUUAUUAUUAUUCAUUUAUGGUGAAGAGCACCUCUUUUUUCUUUUGGGACUAAUCACUGUUUUACCAUUAUCAACAUUAUAUGUUAAAACAUUACAAAGAUGAUGGGUUCUCUGCUCAUUUUGGAUACAGAAUACAAUGGCUAUAUUUGCAUUGUAGACAUCAUGAACCCUGGUUUCUAUCAGUGCCACUGUGAAGAAAUCCGAGUUGGUAGGUUUCUCUACAGUGCACCAUUUCGCAUCCAACCACUGUGAAUGUUAUGUGAAUGUUAUGAUUGAAUUAUGUAUUUUUUUUAAUUGGUGCAACAUAAAAGGGCCUCAGUAUUACAAAUCACUGUACAGUAAAGCUCAGCUAUUAGACAGAGUGUUGAAAACGAUGCUCGUUCUACCAUCUGAUGAUCUUUAAAUGAAAAGAUCCUAAAUGAAAAUCUACUGAGCAUGUUUGACUGUUUGAUGAUAGAAUGCAAAGUUAUUGAUUUUUGCCAUUCCAUGUACCAUAUAUUAACAUUAUAUUUACUGGAUUGAAUUUA